GGGGACUAACACAUGCAGUCGAGCGAGAACUUCGGUUCUAGCGGCGGACGGGUUAGUAACGCGUGGGAACGUGCCCUUCACUACGGAAUAGUCCCGGGAAACUGGGUUUAAUACCGUAUACGCCCUUCGGGGGAAAGAAUUUCGGUGAAGGAUCGGCCCGCGUUAGAUUAGAUAGUUGGUGGGGUAACGGCCUACCAAGUCUACGAUCUAUAGCUGGUUUUAGAGGAUGAUCAGCAACACUGGGACUGAGACACGGCCCAGACUCCUACGGGAGGCAGCAGUGGGGAAUCUUAGACAAUGGGCGCAAGCCUGAUCUAGCCAUGCCGCGUGAGUGAUGAAGGCCUUAGGGUCGUAAAGCUCUUUCGCCAGGGAUGAUAAUGACAGUACCUGGUAAAGAAACCCCGGCUAACUCCGUGCCAGCAGCCGCGGUAAUACGGAGGGGGUUAGCGUUGUUCGGAAUUACUGGGCGUAAAGCGCGCGUAGGCGGAUUGGAAAGUUGGGGGUGAAAUCCCAGGGCUCAACCCUGGAACUGCCUCCAAAACUAUCAGUCUAGAGUUCGAGAGAGGUGAGUGGAACUCCGAGUGUAGAGGUGAAAUUCGUAGAUAUUCGGAAGAACACCAGUGGCGAAGGCGGCUCACUGGCUCGAUACUGACGCUGAGGUGCGAAAGUGUGGGGAGCAAACAGGAUUAGAUACCCUGGUAGUCCACACC
rnacentral:rRNA from 1 species